rnacentral:rRNA from 1 species
GACGAACGCUGGCGGCGUGCUUAACACAUGCAAGUCGAACGGAAAGGCCCUGCUUUUGUGGGGUGCUCGAGUGGCGAACGGGUGAGUAACACGUGAGUAACCUGCCCUUGACUUUGGGAUAACUUCAGGAAACUGGGGCUAAUACCGGAUAGGAGCUCCUGCUGCAUGGUGGGGGUUGGAAAGUUUCGGCGGGUGGGGAUGGACUCGCGGCUUAUCAGCUUGCUGGUGGGGUAGUGGCUUACCAAGGCUUUGACGGGUCGCCGGCCUGAGAGGGGGACCGGCCACAAUGGGACUGAGAGACGGCGCAGACUCCUACGGGAGGCAGCAGGGGGGAAUAUUGCCCAAUGGGCGGAAGCCUGAUGCAGCAACGCCGCGUGCGGGAUGACGGCCUGCGGGUUGUAAACCGCUUUCGCCUGUGACGAAGCGUGAGUGACGGUAAUGGGUAAAGAAGCACCGGCUAACUACGUG